AUGAUAUGUAUAAAGGCCUGGAGUAAGGACAUAAUAUAGAGGGAAACUGCCAGUCCGUGGACACACAAGUGGUAACUCGGGAUGAAACUCUUUAUCAUCUGUACCAUCAUCGCCCUGAAACUUUUUACAGUUUCAGCGAUGUCGAAUUCAUUCCCCUGUCCUCAAUAUAUAUGCAACGCUGUGCCAUAUUGUCCGAACGUCAUGUGUGCCCAGGUGGUGAUACCCAAGCACUGCCGAAUGGAAACCUUUAUGAUGAGGCCGUACGGCGGAAUUUGUCGCGGAUGUCCUAUAAAUAUAUGUGGAAAUACCGGCUGUCAGGUUCCGGGAGGUUGUUAAAACAACAAUCAGAUGAGAUAAACGGAAUAUCAAGAAGUUAAUGACGAUAUCAUGGAUUUAUCUUUAAGAUGAAUUUCCAGAUUUUGAUGUCCUUAUCGUUAUUAAAAUAUACAAUUGUACUGAU